GGAGCGCGAGGAGUUCUUCAGUAAAGAUGGGAUUUUCUUGGUUGUUAUGGGUACCUUCCAGGAGAGUUCUUUUGUACUGCGCUGUGAAAAUAUUAGCAUCAUAGAAAGAGUAAAAUUGCUUCAACAGAGAUUCCCUGAGGUUUGAAUUUGGAAGUUCAAUUUGUUCUAUCGACGAUAAAGCUCGGAUAAGUAGCAUUCUCUUGAAGGAAUAUAUCACAUUUCCUGUGUUGCUGUCAACUAAAGAUUUUAUUAAGUGAUUGAUGAACUUCAGACAUCAUCUAUUGGGGAAUCCACAGACGUAAACUCCAAAGGCAUAGGAGGAAAGCUUGCUGAGUUCAUCAAGGAACCUUAUGUUUGUCAUCCUCUUAAAACCUUACUUCUCAACUCUGCAGGUAAGAUGUUUACCCUUUUAUUUGGACGAACGUGUGGAUCCUAGUACACGGGGAAGAGUGCCUGAUUAUAUUGUUACAUAUUGUUACUUUUUGCAUUAUAAUUACUCAUGGCCAUUAGAUGACAAAUUGGAUGGUUGAGGUGAGUCAUGAAGUUCAAG